AUUGAACGCUGGCGGCAGGCCUAACACAUGCAAGUCGAACGGUAGCACAGAGAGCUUGCUCUUGGGUGACGAGUGGCGGACGGGUGAGUAAUGUCUGGGAAACUGCCCGAUGGGGGGGGAUAACUACUGGAAACGGUAGCUAAUACCGCAUAACGUCGCAAGACCAAAGUGGGGGGACCUUCGGGCCUCACACCAUCGGAUGUGCCCAGAUGGGAUUAGCUAGUUGGUGAGGUAA
rnacentral:rRNA from 1 species